UUGAACCACCAGUUCCCGUACUAUCACUGGAGUUAAGCAAAGUCGAGCCUGGUCAGUAGCUAGAGUGGUGACCGUCUGAGAAUACCACGUGUUAUAA